AUCUAUUUUUUUAGUUUGGUUUUUUUGAUCCACGAAAGACGAUAAACUGUGAAAGAAUUGGACAGUGGAAAGAAAAAAACUUGAAUCUAUCGAAACCAUUUUCGGAAUGUUUUCUAUCUUUGAAAAUGACCUCUUUUCAGUACCAAUAAAACAACUGAGAUUAUUAUACAAUAGGUAAGAACGAGAAAAUAAUUGAAGUCUAUGCCAGCAUUUGGCCUUUUGAGAUUUUCUUAUUUAUACUAACGCAAUAUGUCACAAGCUUUUAUAUGUUAUAGGCGUGUACUAAUUAUUCUUUUUGUGGUUUUGCCUCUUUGUUUGUUACUUACCAUUCUCUUUACCAUUCUCUGUAUUUCUCAUUCAUAUCUAAUUCUUAUAUCUCAAAUUUCUUUUCUUUUACAUGAUAAUAAUAGGGAAAAUAUUAAUCACGCCAUAAGAUUAAAAUAUCAUUACAUUCUCGGGCAAGAGUUUUUGAUAGAGUGUGUUUUGCACUGCUCAAAGCAUAGAAACGACCUCUUACUAUUUUAGUUAUCAAAAAAGCCCUAACCAUGUAUCAAAAACUUUCUGGUUGAAUUAAUAAGAAGAUAAGGACAUUUAGUUUAUUAGUUGUGGAAUCAGAAGAUAAAGAAAAAAAUAAUAUAUAUCUAUUUAUUUAAAAUAAAAAAAGUAAAUCUCCAGAAAGUUAGUUUCGACAAAAAGACAAUUACAGUUUUAAGUUUUGGUUUUAUCAUCAAACUAUAUGUUCGAUUUUAUUUAUAGUACUACAUAAAUACUGAAGUACUACAUAAAUACUGAAGAUAAAUUUUUGGAUUACAUUAUUCAUAAAUUCUUUUAAUAAAAGGAAUUCAAAAAACAAAAAAGAUAAUCAAACAAGUAAUAAAAGGGGAAUAUCCUCCACUCUAAAGCUAUCUACGUCACUAUAAAAAAUCAAUCAAUAGUGAAGCUUCGUUUUGCCACGUCAGACCGUCUUUGAAGUUACAAUCGGGCCACACUUAUGUGGGCUGAUAUAAAAUCGAAGUGGCCCAUUUUAAAUACAUAUGAUUUAAUGUCUGGUUUGGUUAUCACGUGGAGAUGAUGAAGACGAGACGUUUGAUUCUGUUUUUCUUCUCAUUUACAUAAAGUCUCUGAUAUUUUUGAUUCCGUCUCUUUCCUCUCCUUCUCUAUAUCGGGAACAAGAUCGAGAUUGAAAAAAAAAAUUGUGAGACAUGGUUGAGACCAGUCGUAGCUCUUCAUCUUCCAAGAGUUUCUCUUCUUCUUCUUCAUCCCCUGAACCGUCUUCUCAUCUCCACGCCCUACCAAGCGAUCUAAGGUCAAGAUCCAUGCUGCUAUUUAAUCUGUAGCGGCGGCGGAACUGGCGGGGUCUUCGUCGGCGAGCGAGGUUCCGGUUGAGAAAUAAGGACCGGUUUCAGAUCCUGGAUUCGGAAUCUGGAGAGUCGGAGCUUGGAUCCUCUGAUCCGUAAGCUAUGGAUGCAGAGAAGCCUGUUUUAACCGAUAUGCCUGUGAUGGAGAUCUCUCUUGAAGCCGACACAAACCCUGAAGCCGAUGUGGUGGUGACACCUAUAAUAGCAGGUGAAGUGGUGACGAAUGGUGAGAAGUAGAAGGCAGGGAAGAAGCUAGCUAAGGCUCCACGGGCGAAGCUACUUUCUCAGUAUUCUUAGGUGGGUCAAGUUUCAUCAGUGAUUGUUUUUUUAUUGGUUUGAUUUAAUAGUCUGCGAAUUGGGUCUUAAGAGUUUAGCAGUGUGCUGUUCGUGUAAUAUUUUUAGUGAAGGUUCGGUCUUUCAGUUCAUGAGGAACGAGUUUAGUUGUCUGCAUGUCCAUUUCUUUUAUAUUUUUUCCUGUCUUUGUUCUACAAUCUCACGCUUUAAGAUUGAUGGAGUGUUUUUUGAUGGUUAUUUCUUUGUCCGCCGUAAUAUUUCUUUAGUGUUUGCAAAAAAAAAAAAAAAAAAAGGGAUUGUGGCCUGUUUCGUGGAAGUGUAACAAUAUAUAUUUUUUUUCUUUAAGCAAGUAAAUUAACUUCCAAAAAAUUAUAAAGAUUUUUAAAAAUAAAAUAAAAUAGUGGUAAAGGACACAUGUCAACUCUUAGAAAUGUCAAAUGAUAUCCAUGAAUCUCUUAAUCUCACCAAUUUAUAUAUUAGAAGCCAAUUUUUGUUUUGGUCAGCUAUUCUUUUUAUAGAUUGAUAGAUCACUCUCCAACCAAGGAAACAAUGUUUACAAUAGAAAAUAACAAAGUCAAACCAGCACAAAGAGCAGGUUUUAAAGUAACAGAGAGACAAGCAAGAAAUUGAUUGAUAGAAGCCAUUACAAACAACCGAAGACAUGGAGAAGUUCUCUAAACUCGAUAUCCAUAAGUUGAGAAGUAAAGCUACGCCAGACAGAGAGCACACAAGAAGCUCCAAAAACUGCAGUUGAACUGAGACAGAAGUAAUAAUCAGGAUAACCACUAAGGAUUCAGCUUCAUUAGUAGGAACAACACAGCUCAAACUACUGAAAAGUUUGACCAUGCAAACAUUGAACCAGUUGAUAUCAUCCUCUAUAAGGUUCAUGCCAUAAAGCCACUCAAAACAAAUGAAAUAAAACCUACUAGCAAGGUGAAGAUAGUAAUUUGGAAACGAACUUUACCGUUAAGGCGUUAACAAGGGAAACUUUAAGAGAGUUUAUAAAACAAUAACCCAUGAUAUAAAUAAAUGAGAAAUAGUGUUUAGUAAAAACUAUUAGAAGCCAAAUUAUAUAUUAAAUCAUCAUGUAAAAACUGGUUAACACCGGAAACUCCAAAAACAUUUUUUCAUUGUAAUAGCAACUAAAAUAUUCCUCACUGCCCUAAGGAGAAUUAGAAAGAAAUGGAACAAGAGAGAGAUACAUGCAUCAGCUGAGUAGUUCAGAAUAUAGACAACAGUUUUGAAAGCAAAAUAUUUUGAAAAAUCACACAAUUGACAAAUAUCAAGCGCAUAGCGCGAUAUCCUUUAUAUACUAAAGCGCAAGUCGUCUGACGAAUCAAAUAGUGACAUGUGGAAAAGUUUUACAAAAUAAUAAAAAUUAAAAACAAAAUUAAAAUGUAUCAUUUUCCCUUCGAAGAAAAAAUAAAACUGCAUGUGUAAAAAACAGUUCCAUAGCUAUCUCAACCGUUCCUCAAUCAAAGCCAUGAUCCCCACUUUUUUACGUAAACGUUUGGAGCUAAUUUGAAUAGAAUUUAAAAUUAUCUAUUUUUUGCAUUGAACUAUAAAAUCAUUUCAACGACAAUUUUUUUUUACAAACUGGUGUUAGUUCUCAAUGGUUUCUUCAUAUCUUUUUUUUUUCUUUUUCUGCAUCAGUUUGAAACUUCUAUCAUUCAUUGCAUAAAUUAUUUUUGUAUGCCGGCUUUUUCACUAAGUUUCAUAACGAGUUCAUAUGAAACUUAUUAUGCAAGUUCCACUACAAGAAAAUAUGUCUAUAACGAGGAAAAAUUACGAAAUCAUCGAUCUUUGUAUUGUUGAGUUUUUGAAAAUAUUUUAGUAUGUUGUAUAGAUGCAUCAGAAAUCAAUGCUAAAAGAAGAUGAAAAAGAAGAAGAAAAUAUGAGGAAUCAAAGAAAAGUUUGGAUGAGAUACGUUCUGAGUAAAGUUAGUGAAGGUUGAAGACAAUUGAUAGAUAGAGUUGCAGAAAGUUUAACAAUUCAUAAUCAGGUAAACAAUAAUUUUAGUUACUUUUUACUUUUUAUCAUUUUAAAUUAAAUUUCUAAUCAUUUUCUGUAAUUAAUUUUGAAAUUUCUCAAAUUUUCUUUUACAAUUUUCCUAGGUUGUUUUAAUGACUAUCUAAAAACAGAAAAUAGUUAACGUUUUUAGAUAAACACUUUUCUUGAAAUCCUUAAUUAAUAAUUCAAGAAAAGAUUUUUUAAUAAAAAAAAUCUAAAUUUGUAAAUUAGUCUUUAACACAAAAUAAGUAAAGUGGGUAAAAAUAUAAUAAUUAAGAUUAAAAAAUUUAAUUGACAGAGAAACAAAAUGUAAUCAUAAAAAUAAUUUUAAUCUCAAUAUUUUUGAAAAAAUAAUUGCAAACAUGUAACCAUUUAAAAUAAUAUCAUUUUUGUUUGACCCUCCCCAUUUCAACCUAUUUGUUUAAAUUUGAAUGCACCAGUGUUAUUCAGGUUCAUAAAAUAUUUGACAGAAAACAAUUUAAUUCUGAGCGAAAAUUAUAACAUGAUCAAAUAAUUUUAAAUAAUUUUGAAGACAAUAAAACUGACCCGUGCUUAGCAAGGGCGUUGACACUAGUAUAUAUAUAUAUUAGGCCAUUCACCCGUUAAUUAAGAUGCUGAAAAAUCAUGUAGUUUUAUCAUUGACCAAAUGCAGACAGAAGCAACUUACCGUAUCCUGGCAAAUUAAACUAUACAUCU